GAUGAACGCUAGCUACAGGCUUAACACAUGCAAGUCGAGGGGCAGCGCAGUGUAGCAAUACAUGGGCGGCGACCGGCGCACGGGUGCGUAACGCGUAUCCAACCUUCCCGUUACUCAGGGAUAGCCUUCCGAAAGGGAGAUUAAUACCUGAUGGUGUUCAAAUUCCGCAUGUUAUUUGAACUAAAGAUUUAUCGGUAACGGAUGGGGAUGCGUGACAUUAGCUAGACGGCGGGGUAACGGCCCACCGUGGCGACGAUGUCUAGGGGUUCUGAGAGGAAGGUCCCCACACUGGAACUGAGACACGGUCCAGACUCCUACGGGAGGCAGCAGUGAGGAAUAUGUCAA
rnacentral:rRNA from 1 species